rnacentral:rRNA from 1 species
AGAGUUUGAUCCUGGCUCAGGAUGAACGCUAGCGGCAGGCUUAACACAUGCAAGUCGAGGGGCAGCGGGAGGAGUGCUUGCACUUCUUGCCGGCGACCGGCGCACGGGUGAGUAACACGUAUGCAACCUGCCUCCGUCAGGGGGACAACCCGGCGAAAGCCGGGCUAAUCCCGCGUAUAUUCCGUGAGGGCAUCCUUACGGAAGGAAAGGCUUCGGCCGGACGGGGAUGGGCAUGCGGCGCAUUAGGUAGUCGGGGGUGUAACGGACCACCGAGCCGACGAUGCGUAGGGGUUCUGAGAGGAAGGUCCCCCACACUGGUACUGAGACACGGACCAGACUCCUACGGGAGGCAGCAGUGAGGAAUAUUGGUCAAUGGUCGGAAGACUGAACCAGCCAAGCCGCGUGAAGGAAGAAGGUGCUCGGCAUCGUAAACUUCUUUUGUCAGGGAACAAAGGGCGGUACGUGUACCGCUGUGAGUGUACCUGAAGAAAAAGCAUCGGCUAACUCCGUGCCAGCAGCCGCGGUAAUACGGAGGAUGCGAGCGUUAUCCGGAUUUAUUGGGUUUAAAGGGUGCGCAGGCGGCGCGGUAAGUCAGCGGUAAAAGCCCGGGGCUCAACCCCGGCGAGCCGUUGAAACUGCCGUGCUAGAGUAAGGUCGAGGUAUGCGGAAUGCGCGGUGUAGCGGUGAAAUGCAUAGAUAUCGCGCAGAACUCCGAUUGCGAAGGCAGCAUACCGGACCUUUACUGACGCUCAGGCACGAAAGCGUGGGGAUCAAACAGGCUUAGAUACCCUGGUAGUCCACGCAGUAAACGAUGAAUACUGGGUGUUCGGAAUGUAGAUUCUGAGUGCCGAAGCGAAAGCGUUAAGUAUUCCACCUGGGGAGUACGCCGGCAACGGUGAAACUCAAAGGAAUUGACGGGGGCCCGCACAAGCGGAGGAACAUGUGGUUUAAUUCGAUGAUACGCGAGGAACCUUACCCGGGCUCAAACGCCGCCGGACAGGAAAAGAGAUUUUCCCUCCUACGGGUCGGCGGCGAGGUGCUGCAUGGUUGUCGUCAGCUCGUGCCGUGAGGUGUCGGCUUAAGUGCCAUAACGAGCGCAACCCCUGCGGGCAGUUGCUAACGGAUAAAGCCGAGGACUCUGCCCGGACUGCCGGCGCAAGCCGCGAGGAAGGCGGGGAUGACGUCAAAUCAGCACGGCCCUUACGUCCGGGGCGACACACGUGUUACAAUGGGGCGGCACAGAGGGAAGCCAUGUGGCGACACAGCGCGGAACCCGAAAACGCCUCUCAGUUCGGAUCGGAGUCUGCAACCCGACUCCGUGAAGCUGGAUUCGCUAGUAAUCGCGCAUCAGCCAUGGCGCGGUGAAUACGUUCCCGGGCCUUGUACACACCGCCCGUCAAGCCAUGGGAGCCGGGAGCGCUUGAAGUGCGUCGCCGCGAGGCGCGCCCUAGAGCGAGACCGGUGACUGGGGCUAAGUCGUAACAAGGUAGCCGUACCGGAAGGUGCGGCUG